rnacentral:rRNA from 1 species
CCUACGGGAGGCAGCAGUGAGGAAUAUUGGACAAUGGGUGAGAGCCUGAUCCAGCCAUCCCGCGUGAAGGACGACGGCCCUAUGGGUUGUAAACUUCUUUUGUAUAGGGAUAAACCUUUCCACGUGUGGAAAGCUGAAGGUACUAUACGAAUAAGCACCGGCUAACUCCGUGCCAGCAGCCGCGGUAAUACGGAGGGUGCAAGCGUUAUCCGGAUUUAUUGGGUUUAAAGGGUCCGUAGGCGGAUCAGUAAGUCAGUGGUGAAAUCUCAUAGCUUAACUAUGAAACUGCCAUUGAUACUGCUGGUCUUGAGUAAGGUAGAAGUAGCUGGAAUAAGUAGUGUAGCGGUGAAAUGCAUAGAUAUUACUUAGAACACCAAUUGCGAAGGCAGGUUACUAUGUCUUAACUGACGCUGAUGGACGAAAGCGUGGGGAGCGAACAG